AUUUGUAAGGCCCGCCAGCCAGCUGAACAAACCUGCUCCCGGUAGAGCCCCGGGCGAGGCGUGUUUCGUGUGUGUGUUUGGGUCGCAGGUACAACAGGUUGUGAUCCACAAACUCGGUCGCCGGAAGCCAUGCGGGACUUGACGCCAGCACUCUGCUAAUUCCCCCCCAGCUAAGAAGAACCCAGUUGGCCCUCAAAUGAAAGAUAAGUUCUGGCAAGUUGUACCGUGUGUGUGUGUGUGUGUGCGUAUGUCUGUGUGUGUUCCAGGGAAAGACUCGCCCCGCGUUGUUUACUCACGCUGGACCGACCGGUUCUGGCGUCUUUGCUCAACGUAUUAGCGACCGGUUUAGCUUAACGUCUGCAAAAAAAAAAAAAAAAGCCAAGACGAAAACGAAGGAGAAAGCAACUGGAAUCCUGACACCACGGAACUCAUUCUUGCGGAUGACAAGCAUGUGAGCGCAACUUCGUCAUCUUCGACAUCAAACGAGGGAGUCUGAGUCUUCAAGCAUCGAACCGGAGGGGUCGACCUGUAACCUGGUAGAAUGGACUCGUGGUUUUGCCUGACUUGACUUUGGAACCUGGACUCGGAGGAUUCGAAAAGUUCUCUUGAAGAACUAUUGAUUUGCUGGAGUGGACUUGUAGACCCGUUGACUUUUUCUGGGAAAAAAAAAACUUCACAAAGUUUUUUCCUGAGGAACAAUUUCAUUUUUUGGGGGGGGGGGGAAACACCAUUUGACUCUGGUCGCACAACAACUAAAACUAUCCACAUACGUACGUGUGGUAGACAGGACGCGUGUCCUGGCAUGAGUGUACUUACCCGGACGAGGGAUCCGGCCUUGACGGUGGAGCACCGCGCAUACUUCACAGCAUGCCCGAGCAGACUUGGUGGAGUUAAGACUUGAAGGAGUAGACUUGUAAACUUGCUCGUCCGUCACCUUUGUGGGGUGAACUUGCAGACAUGGGAGUCUCGCAGACUUAAAGGGCACAUGAUGGACAACAACUUGUAGCCCUUUCAGAGGGGACUUGUGGACUUGGCAUGGAAGACCCUUUGACCUGGACAGUUAACAAUCGCAAGAGUGGACUUUGCGACAAUGAGAAGUCGACUCGAGGACAAGGACGAGUAGACACGUACACCCGAUGAAGUGGACUUGCAGACUCGAUAGAACUGCAAUAGUGCUCGAGCAGACUUGACGGAGUGAACUCUUUGCAAGAUUGUAGACUCGGUGGAGUGGGCUGGAAGUCUCGAUGGUGUCGGUAAAGUGGACUUAAAGACGGUGGACUCGCGGCCCCUUUGUCGAGAGAAGUUGUCGAGUCGCAACAUUGACACUUGCUGACAUCGAAAAAUGUAGUCCUUCUCAAGUGCACUUGUGGACCUGAGAAGGAGCGAGUGGACGUUCCGAUUCGGUGGACAGCCCCGAAGAGUAGACUUUGAGACCGAGAAGGUUGGACGGCUGCCGGAAAGCGAUGACAUCCAGGGAGUCGGUGUGGUCGGGCUUUUCUGCUCUGAAGGACAACGAUCCUCCUCCUUACAUCCAUCCUCACUACAAGGAGACCUACCGUCUGGCCAUCUACGCGUUGCUCUGCGGCGGCAAGGAGGCCUACGACGACUUCCUCCAGGCCGAGCAGAUCAACCACUUCCUGUCCGAGAAGGAGAUCCGCUUCAUCCUGGAGAGUGCCGAGCCCCCCCAGGCGGAGGACGACGACAACGACGACGUUGACGCGGUGGGGCUGCGCCCCGGAGGCAGGCCGGGCCCUUCCACCUACUUCCCGCAGGAGUCGGACGAGGAGGUGCCCGACCUGGACCUGGGCUGGCCCGAGACGGCCCCGGAGGACCAGGACACCAGCAUCAGUUUACUCUUUCAGCCGCCCAGGGCCAACACGCCCACCAUCAAGGAGGUGGUCCGUAAGCAGAUCCAGGACGCCAAGCAGGUGGUCGCCAUCGCGAUGGACGUCUUCACCGACGUGGACAUUUUCAAGGAGGUGCUGGGCGCCACGCUGCGGGGGGUGGUGGUCUACAUCCUGCUGGACGAGGGCCACUUUGGCAGCUUCCACGCCAUGUCGCGCAGGGCGGGCGUCAACAUCCAAGACCUCAAGAACAUUCGCGUGCGGACGGUGAGAGGUCAGCAGUAUCGCUGCCAGUCGGGCAUCAAGUUUCACGGCGGCUUAGAGCAGCGAUUCAUCCUGGUGGACUGCCGCAGCGUUUUGUACGGAACCUACAGCUACACGUGGUCCUUUGAGAAGAUCAACGUGAGCAUGGUACUGGUGGUCACCGGUCAGCUGGUGAGCUCCUACGACGAAGAGUUCCGCCGCCUCUACGCUCGCUCGAGUGUCCCCGAAGCGCUGCACAAGGAGCGGUCGCACGUGGAGUACCUGAGAGAGGUGGCGCCGCUGCGCGGUCCAAACUCCAGCCAACUUUCGCUGCAUCAACUUCACGUGAGAUCCCGAGGGACUCGCGGUUUCACGGGUUUGGCUCAGGACGAGCUCUUGACCAGGGGCCUCAGCGUACAGGAGCGCCUACAUCUGUCCCACUUUUCCGACCACAUGACAAGGGGCCACAGUUUUGGCGCAGACCUGCAGAAGUUAAGCCCCGUGACUCGGCUAAGGAUGGAGACCAGAGACAUCGGAGCGCCCCUUGUUCCGGACAGGGCCGGCUCUGGUCUCCCGGCGCCCACCAGGAUGUCUCACCAGCAUGUUCGACACCAAGGCCGAUACGGCCCGGACCAGAAUCUAAUCCCUUUCAACUCUGAGACCUCCCUCCACAGGUGGAAGAUGGACACGUACCUGAACAGCCAGGUGAACCUUGACGGAUCGUGCGACGCCUUGUCCCCGCUGACGUCGCCCUACGGCAGCCGCGCGGUCCUGAAUGAGCACCGGCCGCAAGGGAUCAACAACAGAUCCGGGGACAUUAAGAUGCGUCAGAAAAGACUCAGUUAUCAGGAGUACAACAGUCUCAGGCACAGCCAAGAGUCUCUGCGAUCCACAUAUCAAAGUCUGGAUCGGCCCAAAUUCAAGUCUUCGUUUAGAGGCCGAGACGUGCGGCAGAAUGUCGCGGAGGAGGCCGGCGGGCCGGGAGACGCCAACCGCCGAGACCUCGAUUCAAACCGGGCCGACGACGGCGACCGCUCCGCCUCAUACUUUGACAUCCAAACGGGUCCCGAGCAAAAGGCCGGCCCCGCGUACGAAUGGUACGAGCCCAUUGCCAGGACCGCUUCGGCCACCCAACUGGAGGACAAACUCAAAGAGUCCUCCCUCAAGUACCCCGGCGGUCUGCAGCGCCCCAGAACCAUGGAGUCCCUCAUUGAAAUCCCAGAGGAGAAAGAGGUUUGCAGCCAUCCCGUCCUGACCGCCGCUGUUCUCAAAGACCGGAACAGCAGAAAUGAAGACAAGACUUCCAAAAUGUACUUGACUGAGAAAAAUUCCGGAUCUCAGGAGGCAAUGUCGGGGCCUCGAGAAACAAACAAGGCGCCUUCUCCCGAAAAGGGAACUCUUCCAAAGAUCUUAACUGCCGGCGAGCUGAAAGGUCAUCAUCAUCGGGAGGAGUUCCCGCUUCAGCGGAAGAAAUCCAGCCGGCUCAAAGGUUCGGAGGAAAAGAAGGCUUCCAAGAAGGAGGAGAAAUCCCUCCAAAGGAAGGUAUCGCUGCGAUCGCAGAACUCCGGCAGCUCAAACUCGCGGGCGUCUCUUUUGGGAAAAGCGUCUUCCACCGAGCACAGGAGCAGCCAGAGCUCCGCGGUGGAGAACGAAAAGCCAAAGUCUUCCUUCACCUUCCACCGACUGUCCUCUCAACGCUCCAGCAAGCGAAAGUCCAACCCGGCCGCGGCGGGGCCGCAGCAGGGCUCCCGGGAGAAUCUGGAAGAGCAGGGAAAGGCGGCCCACGAGAGCCGGCGGGAAAAGGGCAGCGGUCGCUACGAGUACCUGCUGCAUUCGCGGGUCCCCGCGCACAAAGCCAAGCGAGGAGGCGGGGGGCAACCCCCAAACAGCCCGACGCAAGGCGGCGCCGACAACAGACUGGGACGAUUCAUGCAGCGGGUCGGGAACCUCAUCGGGAAGAACAAGUAGGACGUCGGAAGAAGGCCAAUGGUGUCAGGAGGCUGACCACGGCGUCACUUAAAAGUUAGUUCCUGGGUCUCAAUUUCAAACUUCUUCAUGGCGAUGAAGUACUGGACAAAGGGCUCGCCCAAGGCGCCGCGGAUGACGUGGUCCUCGGCCAGCGCCUCCAGGGCGUCGUCCAGCUUGACGGCGAUGGCAAAUUCCUUCUGCUGAGCGGGCGCCUUGCGCACGCCGCCCUCGAUGCUCAGGUUGCGGCGGAUGCCGUCCAAUCCGGCGGCGGCGGUGGCGGCCAGAACCACGUAGGGGUUGGCCAUGGCCGAGCCCAGCUUGUUGUCGAUGUGGGUCUCGCGGCCUCCGUGGGACUUGACGUUGAAGGAGCUGCUGUUGUCGUUGCAGCCGUAGGUGGCGUACAGCGUCCGCUUGGGGUCCUUGACGGCCUUGGCCAUGUGGCUGCGGCAACCGAGACCCGGCGACAUGAGGCAGCUGAGGGCGGCCGAGUGCGUCAGGAGCCCGGCCAGCCACUUGCGGCCGAUGUCGGACAGCUCACCCGCCGCCGCCUUCUCGCCGCUUUGGAACAGACUCCGCCGCCCGUUGGCGUCCCACAGGCUGUGGGAGAGCACGCCGGCGUUGUAGAGGCCGUCGUCCGUGAAGAAGCUCGCAAUGUAGCUGUGUUUGCGGGCCAUCUCCUUUCAUUUGCGGGACAAAAAACAGAUGCAAAAAAAGGCAUUUCAAAAUAGAUAACCGGAGCAACC